rnacentral:rRNA from 1 species
GUCUGAAGAUCUUAAAUACCAUAAAGGCACCACAUCCUAUUUGAUCUUGGAAGCUAAGUAGGGUCAAUUUGGUUAGUACCUGGAUGGAAGACUGUCAAUGAAUUCCAACUACUGUAGGCU